rnacentral:lncRNA from 1 species
AAUCACUAUUAAUUGCAGUAUAAUUAAACAUAUACCUUACUGCCUUGGUGUUAAUUCGAACUUGGCUUGGCCACUCAUCCAUCCGUAAGAUCCAACACUGCUCUCCUUUCGUUCCAUUAUCCAGUCAGAUCGGUCAAAUACUUAACCGAAUCCCCUUGUUCCUUAGUCACUCAGCCAACCAUCCCCACGUGACCAAGAACAAAGAGAGACGGCUUGGUCUCCAACCAGCCAUCCAAAAGAAUCAGUAUGCUAGCCAUGCUCAGCGUCUCAGAACCAGUCAUUGAUCACUCCUAGAUCAGUCAGCACAUACUCAGCUCUACAGUCCACUAUCCAGUCAGUACUCCUCACGGCCAUCCUGCUCAUCAGUCUAUCAUGUCCCGUACAUCACAAGACCGGAUCACAUCCAUCAACCACUCAAACCGUUCACAUCAGAUCCGCAUCCUUCCUAGGAUCUGACCGUCCCACGCUCAGUAUCCACGAUCAGAUGUAUGCAUCUGAUCCUUCCAACAGAUCAUCAGAACAGACCGAUAACGUAAGCCAUCGCAUCUAGAACACACUCGCGCUCCAAUGGGUGUUAAGAACCACCCACAGACGCACCAACCCACCGAUCAGUUCAUAAACCGCCUGUCUACCCAUCAAUCCCACUCGAUCCUGUACACAGUAUGCGGUAAUGAUCGAUAAGACCGCAGACUGCACCAACUACUGUUGCCGUUCACUCCGCCUCGAUCCCAUGCAGUAAUAACCGCCGACUAAGCGCCUAUCAGUCUUGAUCUGUCGAGAACUCGCAUCAGAACCAGACAUGAAUCAGAACAUCAUUACGGCCACAAUAUCCUAGGCGAAUAGGACUUCCGGCCAUCUCUCUUCAGGUUCCGAUCUGAUCUCUCCCUCUCGGCAUUUCUCUCUUUUUCUCUCCCUUUCUCUGUGUUUUCUGUCCAGACCUGUGUAGAAACGAGAUCCCCUUUCUAUUCCGCGGGAUUUUUCAUUAAAAGGGAGUUUGGGCGGUUACUUCUCGGCCUUAACCGUCCAUAACCGUCCCAUAACUGCUUUUGCGC